AGCGAACGCUGGCGGCAGGCUUAACACAUGCAAGUCGAGCGGGCGUAGCAAUACGUCAGCGGCAGACGGGUGAGUAACGCGUGGGAACAUACCUUUUGGUUCGGAACAACACAGGGAAACUUGUGCUAAUACCGGAUAAGCCCUUACGGGGAAAGAUUUAUCGCCGAAAGAUUGGCCCGCGUCUGAUUAGCUAGUUGGUAGGGUAAUGGCCUACCAAGGCGACGAUCAGUAGCUGGUCUGAGAGGAUGAUCAGCCACAUUGGGACUGAGACACGGCCCAAACUCCUACGGAGGCAGCAGUGGGGAAUAUUGGACAAUGGGCGCAAGCCUGAUCCAGCCAUGCCGCGUGAGUGAUGAAGGCCCUAGGGUUGUAAAGCUCUUUUGUGCGGGAAGAUAAUGACGGUACCGCAGAAUAAGCCCCGGCUAACUUCGUGCCAGCAGCCGCGGUAAU
rnacentral:rRNA from 1 species